rnacentral:rRNA from 1 species
CGUGAGUAACCUGCCCUUGACUCUGGGAUAAGCCUGGGAAACUGGGUCUAAUACCGGAUACGACCAUCUGGCGCAUGUCAUGGUGGUGGAAAGCUUUUGUGGUUUUGGAUGGACUCGCGGCCUAUCAGCUUGUUGGUGGGGUAAUGGCCUACCAAGGCGACGACGGGUAGCCGGCCUGAGAGGGUGACCGGCCACACUGGGACUGAGACACGGCCCAGACUCCUACGGGAGGCAGCAGUGGGGAAUAUUGCACAAUGGGCGCAAGCCUGAUGCAGCGACGCCGCGUGAGGGAUGACGGCCUUCGGGUUGUAAACCUCUUUCAGUAGGGAAGAAGCGAAAGUGUUUUGUACCUGCAGAAGAAGCGCCGGCUAACUACGUGCCAGCAGCCGCGGUAAUACGUAGGGCGCAAGCGUUAUCCGGAAUUAUUGGGCGUAAAGAGCUCGUAGGCGGUUUGUCGCGUCUGCUGUGAAAGACCGGGGCUCAACUCCGGUUCUGCAGUGGGUACGGGCAGACUAGAGUGCAGUAGGGGAGACUGGAAUUCCUGGUGUAGCGGUGAAAUGCGCAGAUAUCAGGAGGAACACCGAUGGCGAAGGCAGGUCUCUGGGCUGUAACUGACGCUGAGGAGCGAAAGCAUGGGGAGCGAACAGGAUUAGAUACCCUGGUAGUCCAUGCCGUAAACGUUGGGCACUAGGUGUGGGGGACAUUCCACGUUUUCCGCGCCGUAGCUAACGCAUUAAGUGCCCCGCCUGGGGAGUACGGCCGCAAGGCUAAAACUCAAAGGAAUUGACGGGGGCCCGCACAAGCGGCGGAGCAUGCGGAUUAAUUCGAUGCAACGCGAAGAACCUUACCAAGGCUUGACAUGAACCGGAAAGACCUGGAAACAGGUGCCCCGCUUGCGGUCGGUUUACAGGUGGUGCAUGGUUGUCGUCAGCUCGUGUCGUGAGAUGUUGGGUUAAGUCCCGCAACGAGCGCAACCCUCGUUCUAUGUUGCCAGCGCGUUAUGGCGGGGACUCAUAGGAGACUGCCGGGGUCAACUCGGAGGAAGGUGGGGACGACGUCAAAUCAUCAUGCCCCUUAUGUCUUGGGCUUCACGCAUGCUACAAUGGCCGGUACAAAGGGUUGCGAUACUGUGAGGUGGAGCUAAUCCCAAAAAGCCGGUCUCAGUUCGGAUUGGGGUCUGCAACUCGACCCCAUGAAGUCGGAGUCGCUAGUAAUCGCAGAUCAGCAACGCUGCGGUGAAUACGUUCCCGGGCCUUGUACACACCGCCCGUCAAGUCACGAAAGUUGGUAACACCCGAAGCCGGUGGCCUAACCC